rnacentral:rRNA from 1 species
AAAACCUACUACACCCCUAAUUUGUAUAACUUCACAACCUCUAGGGCCCUGUAUCGUCGGUUUUGGGUUGGGGCGACCACGGAGUAGAACAAAACCUCCACAAUGAACGGGACCACCACCUUAUCUAAGAAUCACCUUUCUAAGAAUUAAAAUAUUAACAUAUAUGAUCCAUUUUUUGAUCAAUGAACCAAGUUACCCUGGGGAUAACAGCGCAAUCCAUUUUGAGAGCUCCUAUCGACAAAUGGGUUUA